UGGCGACGGGUGAGUACACGUGGGCAAUCUGCCCUGCACUCUGGGACAAGCCCUGGAAACGGGGUCUAAUACCGGAUACGACACACGACCGCAUGGUCUGUGUGUGGAAAGCUCCGGCGGUGCAGGAUGAGCCCGCGGCCUAUCAGCUUGUUGGUGGGGUGAUGGCCUACCAAGGCGACGACGGGUAGCCGGCCUGAGAGGGCGACCGGCCACACUGGGACUGAGACACGGCCCAGACUCCUACGGGAGGCAGCAGUGGGGAAUAUUGCACAAUGGGCGCAAGCCUGAUGCAGCGACGCCGCGUGAGGGAUGACGGCCUUCGGGUUGUAAACCUCUUUCAGCAGGGAAGAAGCGAAAGUGACGGUACCUGCAGAAGAAGCGCCGGCUAACUACGUGCCAGCAGCCGGGGGAAAUACG
rnacentral:rRNA from 1 species